AUCCUCAUCCUCCAUCCCCAAUUGGUCCCCUCAAUGAUCUUGUUAGAUGGUUGCCCAGCAGUGGAGAAUGCAACACCAUCAAAUUCUUUCCAGCAUUCAUGAGCCUUACUUUGGAGCUUAUUGGACGCUAUGUUCUGCCUGAUAGAUCUGUUUUGCCGAUAAUGUAUCGCCACUUAGACCUCAGGUACUGUUAAAUUUUGUUUUGCCGCGACCUCAUUUGCCUAGAAUACAUGCAAUUCCACGUAUUUGGUUUCCCUUGGCCGCUAUAUUAUGGAUGCACAUUACAAGGCAUGCCUGUAUGCAGGCAUCAACACUAGUGGUAUCAACGGAGAAGUGAUGUCAGGCCUAGAAUACAUGCAUCUCUUCUACCAUUUUGAUCUUAUUAUUCUAGUUUAGAACCAUUCUGAUCUUGUUCUCCAAUUUCUAUUGUUUUCUGAAAGGUCUAUAUUUAUGUUAACAGAGGAUUACUGUUUUCAUUGUACCUUCAUUUGAUCCAAAGCCAAUGGAUUACUGGUCAGUUUUUAUUUCUUUGUACCUUAAUGGAUGCUGCAAGUGUGCAUGUUUUCAGUACUUUUAUUGUUGGAACUCUCAAGAAAUUAGACUUUUGUUUUGUCAAGGAGAUUGGAAAGGAGCGGGGGCACACACAAAUGACAGGCUAUGAAAUCAUCAAGAAAGCAAUUGAAAAGCUUGGUCUGAGGCAUAAAGAACACAUUUCAGCUUAUGGAGAACGGAAAGAGCAGAGACCCACUGGAUGACACGAAACAGCUGAUAUAAAUACUUUCAAAUGGGGUGUUGCUAGCUAAUCGCAGGCUGUCUUUCAUGUUUGACGCAACACAAAGAUAGAAGGAAAGGGGUGCUUUGAGGACAGAAGGCAUGUUUCAAACAUGGAUCCAUAUGUUGUGACUUCCAUGAUUGCAGAAACCACCAUCCUUCGGAUGCCAAGAGAACAUCAACCAACCCCUCAUGAAAUAUUGUUUUUAGUAGUCUGUCCAAGGAACCAUAGAAAGAUCUCUGUCAUCAGGAUGGAUAUCUUUCAGUUUGUUUCCCUUUGUAUUUGAAGCAGCAACUGAUGUUAUUGCUUUGUUUGCUUGCCUUAUGAUUCUGCAUUCUGUGUCGAAUAAUGCAACCCUAGAGUUAAGGAAAGAUGGUAAAAAGGAUUCCAUUAUGAAUG